AACGAACGCUGGCGGCAGGCUUAACACAUGCAAGUCGAACGCAUCCUUCGGGGUGAGUGGCAGACGGGUGAGUAACGCGUGGGAACGUGCCCUUCAGUUCGGAAUAACCCAGGGAAACUUGGGCUAAUACCGGAUACGUGCGAGAGCAGAAAGAUUUAUCGCUGAAGGAUCGGCCCGCGUCUGAUUAGCUAGUUGGUGAGGUAAUGGCUCACCAAGGCGACGAUCAGUAGCUGGUCUGAGAGGAUGAUCAGCCACAUUGGGACUGAGACACGGCCCAAACUCCUACGGGAGGCAGCAGUGGGGAAUAUUGGACAAUGGGCGCAAGCCUGAUCCAGCCAUGCCGCGUGAGUGAUGAAGGCCUUAGGGUUGUAAGGCUCUUUCAGUGGGGACGAUAAUGACGGUACCCGCAGAAGAAGCCCCGGCUAACUUCGUGCCAGCAGCCGCCGUAA
rnacentral:rRNA from 1 species